rnacentral:ncRNA from 2 species
CGCAAAGAAGAUCGCGCCGGUGCCCUCAAAGGGCUGAAAACGGGAAUGCGGUGCGGACGGGAAACCGUCCUAUUCCGCGGCUGUCCCUGCAACUGUAAGCGGUGAGCGCGAUGCACUUCGGUCCAUGGACCGGCCACUGGACGCAAGUCCGGGAAGGCGUGCAUCGCUGCAUUGACCCGCGAGCCAGGAGACCUGCCGGCGCAUGGUCGCUCUU